GAUGAACGCUGGCGGCGUGCUUAACACAUGCAAGUCGAACGGAAAGGCUCCUGCUUGCAGGGGUACUCGAGUGGCGAACGGGUUAGUAACACGUGGGUGAUCUGCCCUGCACUUCGGGAUAAGCCUGGGAAACUGGGUCUAAUACCGGAUAGGACGAUGGUUUGGAUGCCAUUGUGGAAAGUUUUUCGGUGUGGGAUGAGCUCGCGACCUAUCAGCUUGUUGGUGGGGUAAUGGCCUACCAAGGCGUCGACGGGUAGCCGGCCUGAGAGGGUGUACGGCCACAUUGGGACUGAGAUACGGCCCAGACUCCUACGGGAGGCAGCAGUGGGGAAUAGUGCACAAUGGGCGCAAGCCUGAUGCAGCGACGCCGCGUGGGGGAUGACGGCCUUCGGGUUGUAAACUCCUUUCGCUAGGAACGAAGCGCAAGUGACGGUACCUGGAGAAGAAGCACCGGCUAACUACGUG
rnacentral:rRNA from 1 species